AGCACUUGUGUUUGUUUUUGUUUAACUUAUGGACAGGUGCAAAAAAUAAUCCUUUUUUGCAACCCAGAACUCAUUGUUUAGUAUGAGUUUUACUACAUAUAAGAAGGAAUAUU